UACAGCCCAAUAAUAGGCGUCCAUGGUGGACGCGUAUUAUUGGGCUGUACAUUCCUGGGUUGAGCAUUCUCGGGCCGCGCAAUAUUGGUCCGGGGCGAUAAUACGAAGCCACUCUUUUCACAGGGCAAUAAUGUACGACCCCAUAAUUCGCGUCCAAUAAUUUGAGUCCCUUGGCUUUCAAUUAUUGGGCUGCGCAUUAUUGGUACAGGUCGAGAAAGCCCGACCCAAUAAUGUACGACCCAAUAAUAGGAAGCCAAAAACCAGAGAGAUUCUUUUUUUUAAGGGAGCUGUCAAAAUUAGUAGGGACGUUCUGACAUUAGCUCUUGACAAUUUAAAAAUAAUCGGUUUUUUCUAGUGCCAUCUUUCAGUGACAUUGACAGUAUUGUAUUGACACUUGUUGGUUUACAAAUACAAUAAAAUGAAUUCUAAUAAAAGAAACAGUAGACUCAGUAGAGGUACGAGGUACUGAAAAAAUAUUAAUUAAUGGAGAAGCCAAAGUUGGAGGAAAACAAGAAGAUUCGAGGAGAAUGGUGUGGCACUUAAUGCCGCCGGGACAGUAACCUAGCUGCAGCUCCAACUCUAGGGAAUUGGGCUGAAUGAACGCAACACGUGAUCGACAGCCCACCUGCUUCCUGCCGAGCGUCCCUACACUACAUCUACAUGGAUUCGCUUAUUCUGCUCUACAAAACUUCUGAGCUGAUACAAGCAGCCAGAAUGAGUCUCUGCUGAGUCGCCGGCGCCGGACGUGCGUCGCGCGCCUCGGGCGACUGACGUCUUCGUGUGAGUCGCCAAUUGCAGGGGAAGAUACGAAUAGUUAGGUAUAAAAGCUACUUUAGUCAACCUCGCCUCAGUACUGUUUGUAUUGACUGAAAUACAAGUAGCAUAUAUGAGACGUUCGGACGUAUCCGUGAAAAUACGAAGGUAAAGGAAAUUGCACUACAUUUUUAGAACCUAUUCACCUGUCAGUAAGAUAUUGAAAAGGAAAGUUCAUGAGUUUUAUUAUUUUCUUUCCUCCAACAGCUUCACAUGGAGCAAAUGUAAACCUUUUAUGUUAAUAAUAUCAGUAAUGUCAAGGUACAACGCUCUUUAGAGCAUAUUGCCAUUCCUUUUACUCGAGUGGCCUGUGGGUUAACUAUACGAAGCGAGCCUACGAUGCAUUAAAAGUGCAGUAUAACAAUGCAUUCAGAAUGCUGUUGGGCUUACCUCGUAGAUGUAGUGCAUCUGGCAUGUUUUGCGAAGCUAGAAGUUUUCUGGCAAUCAUGCGCAAGAAAAUAGUAUCUCUGCUAGGUCGAGUUAGAAGCAGUCCCAAACAUACAUGUUCGAAAAGUAGAACUCCCUUAGUAGGCCAAGCAAUAAGAAGUUAUAGAGGGAAAUGCUAGGAACACAAUUUUUGACUACGUAACUUUGUUUGGACUAGUUAGGAGGUGAACAUAUCAAAAGUCCCCGGCUGUAGCCCCGGUACUGGGGGGUAGACUAGUUAUAGUCCAAACAAAGUUACGGAGUCAAAAACUGUGUUCCUAGCAUUUCCCUCUACAACGUUUUUUGAGCAUUCAUUUCCUGACCUAUAGAUCGUGUUUCAAUUUAUCGCCUCUCGUUGGCAAUUAAGGUGGUUCGCUUUCCAUACAAAAAAAAAACAAUUACAUAAGUACCUAAUAGUGUGUAAUUACUUAAUAUAACGCAAUUGUUUUUUGUAUGGAAAGCGAACCACCUUAACUAUUCGCACAACGUUUUGUAGUUGCAGUAAGUACUUACAUAUGGCCGGUUAAAUUUUCGAAAUAGGUAUGUAUUUACGUACAGUGCUAAUUGCCGCACAUAGAAUAAUUAAAGUUUGAUCAAUCGGAAUAUGUUCCUAAGUCACUUAUUACAUUUCGAAUUAUAAGUCUGUAUUUUACAGCUUUAGAUGUGCAUGACUGCAUAUGCACAUCUAAAGCUGAAAAAUGCUUUCAUGAAAUUAUGGCUAAAUUAUGUUAAUAGGGACAAAUGUAUCAUUUUCAACCAAAUGGGUUCUUAUUAUCUGUUGUCAAUAAGGCGCUAUUUCCAUAAAGCUUCAAUUUGAAAUCAGCCUCGUCGACAACCGACAAUGUUAACCUUUUGGUUGAAAACGUCACAAAUUAUGGCGAUAGAGAAUACAAUGUUCUGUUGCCAGAGUGCAGCACUAGUAAAACCCGUAAACGAGUGAAUUGCAAAAAAGUGUAGGUAACACAAUGGAAUAUUCACAAAAAUAUGAAAGAAUGUAACACAAAAUGAAGAAAAUGUAUGUGUUUUUUUUGUGUUACGUCACACAAAGGACGCCAAAAUCGACGCCGCAAUAUUUUUCACGACGUGUAGAAUAAAAGUGGCGUCGAAUUCAGGAAUCCGCAAAUACUAUGGUAGCCGAUAGCCAAGUAAUUUAUCAAUAGAACAAUGUUAAAACAGUAGUAGAAACGGUGAGCUUUGCAAACUUUUAGUAGAUUGGUUUGGUUUUGGUAGAUUUCUCGGUUUGGCAUGCUUGAUGCUCUUCACAUCACCACAGACGGAGGUCGACAGUUCGAAUCUGUCUUGUUCAACCAAUUGAUGGAGGCACAUGCACGCAUACGAAGUAUACGAACCACAUAUUACACUACCAUCCUGGAGCUAAUUGGAUUAUUUGCAUCUACUAUUAUAGUAUAUACCUAUGCCUUAUUUUUACGCCUAAGACCCUAAGCUUUUAACAAAAACCAUUAUUUCUUUUAUACCUACGGGCGGUUUAGCUCCCGUACCUACCUCUAUUAUACCUAGCCACGUGCUAAAGCAACAAUGUCCUUUAAAUCCGUAUCCCGUAUCGUGAUAGUAUUAAGAUUCAACUCGUCUACAUCGAGGUGGUCGAUCGUCCUAAAUACAUUACCAAAACAUGUUAACUCGUAUGAGCCGUUACAUAGAUCUGAACCUUAAUACUAUCAUGAUAAUUAUUGAUUAAUAUUUUUAAAUAAUUUGUUAAGCAUAUUUACACUUGCAAAUAUACACUUGCAGCAUUCUAAUAUUAUGGUAUGGUAAACAUAUAACAUGUUAUAUAUUCGCGAUUCAUGUCAACAGCCCUGUCGCCAGGCCCCCGCCCGCCGCG